GAUGAAGAACGUAGCGAAAUGCGAUAAGUAAUGUGAAUUGCAGAAUUCAGUGAAUCAUCGAAUCUUUGAACGCACAUUGCGCCCGCCAGUAUUCUGGCGGGCAUGCCUGUUCGAGCGUCAUUUCAACCAUCAAGCCCCCGGCUUGUGUUGGGGACCUGCGGCUGCCGCAGGCCCUGAAAAGCAGUGGCGGGCUCGCUGUCACACCGAGCGUAGUAGCAUACAUCUCGCUCUGGGCGUGCUGCGGGUUCCGGCCGUUAAACCACCUUCAUAACCCAAGGUUGACCUCGGAUCAGGUAGGAAGACCCGCUGGACUUAAGCAUAUCAAUAAGCGGAGGA
rnacentral:misc_RNA from 1 species